UUUGUAACUGUUGGAUUGAAAGUUAAGUUUCUUAAAUAACUAGUCGUCCUAGUUGCUUGUUUUUCAACCAAUUCUUCUCACUUGUAUAAUUUGUCUCCUCUUGCAUUCUAAUUCAAUAAGAAUGAUGAGAAUCUUGUUUAAAGUUUACAACAUGGUAUCAGAGCUCUCAAUCUGAGAGCUCUGCUACACAAAUUCCUCCUACCUUAUUCUCUACAAAAUCACAUUUCAGAGGCACACGUUUUUCUUUCAAUCAUCCAUUGACCUGCAACACUUAGUCUCUGCCAUAAUUAUGCAUUUCUUGGUCAUGAAUUCCAAUCACGCUUUUCAUCCUUUGAGGUUUGUUCUCUUUCUUAUAUAUUCCUUUCACUAAAAUCAUUAAAAUGGCGUAUAUUGACUUUGAUGAAUCACAAGCUAAUCCAUAUCUCUUUUCACUUAGAAUUUAUCCAAAAAAGUCCUUCUAGUCCUUCUUACCUUCUAAGGAAAACCUAGGAGCAAUUCUUGUUUUAUCAUCAAUGGAGGGUGAAAACUAUCAUUCAUGGAGAACAUCCAUGAAAAUGGUAUUAUUUUCUCAAAAUAAAUACAAGUUUGUUGACGGAUCAAUAACAAGGUCUACCAUCAAUGAUCUAAAUCUUGAUGUAUUGUAGAGAUGCAACACUAUGAUUGUUUCUUAGAUUACCAGAUCCAUCUUUUAUCAAAGUGUACAAAGUAAAUGUACAUAUGGAGUCCUUGAGGCCAACACCUUCUUGUGUAUAUGAAGUGCAAUGUAAGUUUAACCUUGUCAAGAACAUCAAAGCUCAUGGAAAAUUAGAAUAUGUGAUUUGUGUAACACCGCGAAUUUUACGAUUUUGAAUUAUAAGAUUUUAUUAAUAUUUUUAUUAAUUAUAUAUUCGAAAAUGAAUUUCUGGGAAUUUUACAUCGUGACAUAGUGGUGUCCGAAUAUGACACCCGGAUCUCCUAAACCAUCUCAAAGGUUUUGGAGUUAACUUGGGUUUUAGGAAACCCAAUAUUUUUAUGUUUGGAUGCUUUUGAAUAUAUAUGAUUGUUAAGGAAAUGUAUUGAAUAUUGUAUAUGUGAGAGAGAACACAUCGUGACAUAGUGGUGUCCGAAUAUGACACCCGGAUCUCCUAAACCAUCUCAAAGGUUUUGGAGUUAACUUGGGUUUUAAGAAACCCAAUAUUUUUAUGUUUAGAUGUUUGUGAAGAUAUAUGUUUGUGAAGAUAUAUGUUUGUUGAGGAAAUGUAUUGAAUAUUGUAUGUGAGAGAGAACACAUCGUGACAUAGUGGUGUCCGAAUAUGACACCCGGAUCUUCAAAACCAUCUCAAAGGUUUUGAGGGUUAACUUGGGUUUUAAGAAACCCAAUAUUUUUAUGUUUGGAUGAUUUUGAAUAUAUGUGAUUGUUGAGGAUAUAUAGUGAAUAUUGUAUGUGAGAGAGAACAUAUCUUGACAUAGUGGUGUCCGAAUAUGACACCCGGAUCUCCUAAACCAUCUCAAAGGUUUUGGAGUUAACUUGGGUUUUAAGAAACCCAAUAUUUUUAUGUUUGGAUGCUUUUGAAUAUAUAUGAUUUUUGAUGAAAUAUGUUGAAUAUUGUAUAUGAAUGUUGUUUGGAACUUUUCUGGGUGCAGGUGUUUGAAAAACCAUGUUUAAAUGUGUUUUGUUUGUCGAAAAUGGUAAAAGUUGGUAUUUUGUCCAAGUCCCUGUCGCCUGGGCGAGGGGAAGUUUUGGGUUCUGGAACUCCUCGCCCGGGUGACAAAUCCUCGCUUGGGCGAGCAAGGGUCCCCCGCUUAGGCAAAAAAGGCCCAGGAUUUCGAUGAAAUUCGGGAACUUUCUCGCCCGGGCGAGCAAAAGCCCGCUGGGGCAAAAAAAAAUUAAUGAUGUCUUUCUUGAGCGAGAAGGGGCCUCGCUUGGGCGAGGAAGGCUUAAGUGUAAUUGAAAUUUAAAGAUGAAUGGUCGCUUGGGCGAGAGGGCCUCGCUUGAGCGAGAGAUGCCCAGUUUUAAAAUGGUAUUGUUGAUUGAAUUUUCGCUUGAGCGAAGGGUCCACGCUUGGGAGAGAGACAGUGAUUGUGUUUGACUAUUUGGAUUGAGUGGUUGAGUAUGUAAUAACCCUAGUAUGGGUAUGUGAUAUAAAANNNNNNNNNNNNNNNNNNNNNNNNNNNNNNNNNNNNNNNNNNNNNNNNNNNNNNNNNNNNNNNNNNNNNNNNNNNNNNNNNNNNNNNNNNNNNNNNNNNNAAAGUGUCUUGGUAUGGGACCUGUACUCUUGAUUUUUUUCCGACUAGGUUAUUGGGAGGAUAUUGGUGUGAGGUGGAUGAUCAAGACAUAGCAUGCAUAUAUUACACUUGUGGAAGUGGAUUCUCACAUUUGAGUUACAAACAUCAUGCACAUAUUAUUACUUAUGGUUAUGAUGUAUUUUUAUGAAAUGUAUGUUGAUACAUUAUGGUUUAUGUUGAUAAACGGUGAGUUAUGAUGUCGGUUAUAGAAAUAUAUGUGUAUGUGAUUAUUUGGGGUUAUGAUUCCCACUUAUGUGUUAUUUAAUUAUAGUCAUGAUAUCUUGUCGAUGAAUGAUAUAUUGAUAAAUGGUGAAUUAUGAUAUUGAUGGGAAUAUACAUAGGUGGAGUAGAUAAUUGUUUAUGAGAACAAUUAAUGAGUUUGGUUAAAUUACUCAUAUUGAGUAGAUAAUUGUUUAUGAGAACAAUUAAUGAGUUUGGUUAUAUUACUCAUGUGGAUUGGAUAAUUGUUUACGAGAACAACUGGUGAGUUAUAAUGUGAUAUGAUAUACAUAUAUGAACUGUUUUUCAUAUAUGAGUGUAAUAUUCUGAGUAUGUCCACGCCGUCAAUGAAUUUAUGUUCAUUAGAUGUCUUACUCUCUCUAUUUCUCUUCUUUUCUAUUGCUUGCUUUUCGGACGUGUGCUCGUCAGGUAGACAACUUCGCUCGGAUUUAGAGCUACCCG
rnacentral:lncRNA from 1 species